AGGACACGUGCCUGAAGCUAAGGGCCACUUUGA
rnacentral:tRNA from 1 species